rnacentral:rRNA from 1 species
GCGAUACAGGGUGACAGCCCCGUACACAAAAAUGCACAUAUUGUGAGCUCGAUGAGUAGGGCGGGACACGUGGUAUCCUGUCUGAAUAUGGGGGGACCAUCCUCCAAGGCUAAAUACUCCUGACUGACCGAUAGUGAACCAGUACCGUGAGGGAAAGGCGAAAAGAACCCCGGCGAGGGGAGUGAAAAAGAACCUGAAACCGUGUACGUACAAGCAGUGGGAGCCUCUUAAUGGGGUGACUGCGUACCUUUUGUAUAAUGGGUCAGCGACUUAUAUUCUGUAGCAAGGUUAACCGAAUAGGGGAGCCGAAGGGAAACCGAGUCUUAACUGGGCGUUAAGUUGCAGGGUAUAGACCCGAAACCCGGUGAUCUAGCCAUGGGCAGGUUGAAGGUUGGGUAACACUAACUGGAGGACCGAACCGACUAAUGUUGAAAAAUUAGCGGAUGACUUGUGGCUGGGGGUGAAAGGCCAAUCAAACCGGGAGAUAGCUGGUUCUCCCCGAAAGCUAUUUAGGUAGCGCCUCGUGAAUUCAUCUCCGGGGGUAGAGCACUGUUUCGGCAAGGGGGUCAUCCCGACUUACCAACCCGAUGCAAACUGCGAAUACCGGAGAAUGUUAUCACGGGAGACACACGGCGGGUGCUAACGUCCGUCGUGAAGAGGGAAACAACCCAGACCGCCAGCUAAGGUCCCAAAGUCAUGGUUAAGUGGGAAACGAUGUGGGAAGGCCCAGACAGCCAGGAUGUUGGCUUAGAAGCAGCCAUCAUUUAAAGAAAGCGUAAUAGCUCACUGGUCGAGUCGGCCUGCGCGGAAGAUGUAACGGGGCUAAACCAUGCACCGAAGCUGCGGCAGCGACACUAUGUGUUGUUGGGUAGGGGAGCGUUCUGUAAGCCUGUGAAGGU